AACGCUGGCGGCGUGCUUAACACAUGCAAGUCGAACGAAACACCUUAUUUGAUUUUCUUCGGAACUGAAGAUUUGGUGAUUGAGUGGCGGACGGGUGAGUAACGCGUGGGUAACCUGCCCUGUACAGGGGGAUAACAGUCAGAAAUGACUGCUAAUACCGCAUAAGACCACAGCACCGCAUGGUGCAGGGGUAAAAACUCUGGUGGUACAGGAUGGACCCGCGUCUGAUUAGCUGGUUGGUGAGGUAACGGCUCACCAAGGCGACGAUCAGUAGCCGGCUUGAGAGAGUGAACGGCCACAUUGGGACUGAGACACGGCCCAAACUCCUACGGGAGGCAGCAGUGGGGAAUAUUGCACAAUGGGGGAAACCCUGAUGCAGCGACGCCGCGUGAGUGAAGAAGUAUCUCGGUAUGUAAAGCUCUAUCAGCAGGGAAGAAAAUGACGGUACCUGACUAAGAAGCCCCGGCUAACUACGUGCCAGCAGCCGCGGUAAUACGUAGGGGGCAAGCGUUAUCCGGAAUUACUGGGUGUAAAGGGUGCGUAGGUGGUAUGGCAAGUCAGAAGUGAAAACCCAGGGCUUAACUCUGGGACUGCUUUUGAAACUGUCAGACUGGAGUGCAGGAGAGGUAAGCGGAAUUCCUAGUGUAGCGGUGAAAUGCGUAGAUAUUAGGAGGAACAUCAGUGGCGAAG
rnacentral:rRNA from 1 species